rnacentral:lncRNA from 1 species
ACAAUUGGGUGAAUAUACUCAAAUCGCUGAAAAAUUAAGUAACUACCCGAAACAAUGAAAAACUCAUGUUCACUGUAGAUAAUUGUGUCCUCCUUUCCCAUUUUACCUCUGCCCUAAAGUUUCAUCUUGUUUCUCUUUCUUUCCCGAACUCAUACCUCUUUCAUCUAUCUAUUUCUCUCCCAAUUAUCUCAACCUUUGUUAAGAUUAAAGCUUCAUUUCAAAUCAAUCAAUCUUCUUCUUAAAUCUCCAAAUCAUGAUCUACUAUGUUUCCAACGCCAAUCAUACGAUAACCUCCUCAUCUUCUUAAAUCUCCAAAUC